CCUGCCCCUGACUCUGGGAUAAGCGCUGGAAACGGCGUCUAAUACUGGAUACGAGUAGCGACCGCAUGGUCAGUUACUGGAAAGAUUUAUUGGUUGGGGAUGGGCUCGCGGCCUAUCAGCUUGUUGGUGAGGUAAUGGCUCACCAAGGCGUCGACGGGUAGCCGGCCUGAGAGGGUGACCGGCCACACUGGGACUGAGACACGGCCCAGACUCCUACGGGAGGCAGCAGUGGGGAAUAUUGCACAAUGGGCGCAAGCCUGAUGCAGCAACGCCGCGUGAGGGAUGACGGCCUUCGGGUUGUAAACCUCUUUUAGCAGGGAAGAAGCGAAAGUGACGGUACCUGCAGAAAAAGCGCCGGCUAACUACGUGCCAGCAGCCGCGGUAAUACGUAGGGCGCAAGCGUUAUCCGGAAUUAUUGGGCGUAAAGAGCUCGUAGGCGGUUUGUCGCGUCUGCUGUGAAAUCCGGAGGCUCAACCUCCGGCCUGCAGUGGGUACGGGCAGACUAGAGUGCGGUAGGGGAGAUUGGAAUUCCUGGUGUAGCGGUGGAAUGCGCAGAUAUCAGGAGGAACACCGAUGGCGAAGGCAGAUCUCUGGGCCGUAACUGACGCUGAGGAGCGAAAGGGUGGGGAGCAAACAGGCUUAGAUACCCUGGUAGUCCACCCCGUAAACGUUGGGAACUAGUUGUGGGGUCCAUUCCACGGAUUCCGUGACGCAGCUAACGCAUUAAGUUCCCCGCCUGGGGAGUACGGCCGCAAGGCUAAAACUCAAAGGAAUUGACGGGGACCCGCACAAGCGGCGGAGCAUGCGGAUUAAUUCGAUGCAACGCGAAGAACCUUACCAAGGCUUGACAUAUACGAGAA
rnacentral:rRNA from 1 species